UUUAACUCAGUUAGAAAAUAAGUCUUAUUUUGUCAAGGAAAUAAAACAAUCUACAAUAAAUACGUAAAAAUAUCUAUUGAAACUUACACUGUCGAACUGUAAAUUCCAGUUACAUCAUUUCCAACUAGAGCUUGAGCGGAUUAAAUGUUUUGAGCUUUGUUGCAUGUUACUUCGUUAGUUUGGUGGGAGCAACACAAAUAACUAAACAUGUGUUAAUGAACAAAAGUAUUAUAUUUAGCAAUGUUUUGGCCCCAUUUGGUGAGAAGGAAAUGAGUAGAAUGUCCAUUACCUGACCGCAUACCGCUAACAGCUAACUUCAUGCUAAAUAGACAGCUCUUUCUCGCUAAGCAGUUUGUUCUCAUUAAGUCCAAGUCCAUUCAAGUCUAACAUAUGUAAAUGUAGUUGUGAGGACAAUACAUAAGGCAUAUUACACUUGCAACAAACAAUGGUUUUGCAUUUGCCACAACAUAUUAAGUCAGUCCAAAUAACAGCUUCAUAGAGCCUUUUUUUUGGUGCUAGCGAGGUUAGCUACGUACUUAUUUGUUUACUACACUAAAAACAAAAAUAUAUUUUGUAGCCAUAUUGUUGGUUAUAGAAAUCCUUCAUAAUUAAUCCUGAAUCAUUUCCAUCUGGAAGUCAAGCUUAGUGAUUCUACCUUUUUAUUUUAUCCCAGAGAAACCAUCAGCUAAAAUAAUAGGCAGAUAAGGAAAUAAUACUACAUUUGUGCCCUAUUCUUCCAAUGUUAGCUCUCUCAGUCAUGAAUAAAAUGUGUGUACGUGAAGAAAAUUAAUUUAAGGGCCUCCAUCCUACACUCUUCGACAGAAGUCAGGGUCAAUGGAUGCUCGCCUCGUUUCUUUUCACCUCCACAUCUUUUACAGCACACUGGUUCUGCCGGAAACAUCCUUUGUACUGAACUGAGCGAGUGCCAAGGCUGGGAACAAAGCAGUGUGUUGGGACAACCACGGGCAGGUGGGGCUCCACCCUCAGCAGGCGGUGCAGCUCAGCUUUAGCCAGCGGGAGGCGGGUCCUGUCGGAGGAGUCCACCACGUACACCAGAACACCUUUAUCUGGAUUCAGUCAGAGAAACGUGGGUCCCUGUGCACUGUGCAGCUCCUGAUGCGUAGAUGAAAAAAAGAUUGUCGUCGCCCACGAUCUCUGUGUUCAGAUCAUGAAUAAAUCAGCCGCUGAGCGUGACACAUUCCUCCAAACUCAUCCACGGAAACUCAUUGUGAGACCGCUGCAGCCCAGAGUCCCGCACUCAGACAACCUCAAUGAGGAACCAAGUGAUUUAUGUUUAGUGAAGCGCUGUGGCUUCAGUGGGAUGCUAAUUAGCAGGAUU